AAAGUUGAAAAUUGUCAAAUUGAAACUCAGAAAUUUACUUUUUUGUAGAAAAUUUCUGAGAUUAAUCUCAAAACUUGUGGAUUUUUUGGUGAACUCCUUGUUUUUGUUUGUUUUUAUCUAAAAAACAUGCAAGAAACUCAUCGUUGCAUAACUUGAGAAGCAGCUGUGUUAAUCGCUAACGGGACCAUCGUAACGUUACGAUCUUAAUGAAAAACAAUCACGUCAGCAGAAAAUCGUAAUUGAGCAUCACGGCCUGCUCCGUGACGUUAGCCUGAGCGGCUAACUGCUAGCUGCUUGGCUACAAUCUUCUACACAAUGUCAAUAUGUUAGCUAAUAUGCUAAUGUUUCCUUUGCUAGCAUAAGUUAAUCAGCUCUGAGUUGCACCAACGUUAGCUGGUGUUGCUGCUUUCAGCAGGUUGGAAACAGGAAGUAGUUCCUCAGAGCAGGAAGUUAUUUCAUAAGUUCUUCAUACUGUGAAUCUCUCCUCUGGAAUCCAGCAGCUUUUUGGAUAGCUAGCAAAGCUAAUGUUAGCUAAUGUGCUAACACUAGCGUUGCUAAUAAGGUUCAGCUGAACACAACAAUCCCAGCUAACUUAUUAUCCCAGUUUUGUGAUGAUAAUUACUGUUUGUUUCUUUCUCUGUGGAAAAAUUCCUGAAUAUUUGGUUUAUUUUCUGCUCCGACUCACUAACAUCCCAGAUUUCGCUCAAAUCAAACAUAUUUUCUCAUUACGAUGUUCUGUGUAAAAACUGAACAAACUGCCCUCCUUCACUUUGAGCCUGCAGGGUUUCUGUCUCAGGGGAAACUGACCUUUGCUCUGUAAAUACUCGCAGCAUCCAGUUGGACCGUUUGUGUACAUAGAGCGAGCGACGACCAAACUCAUGUACGACUCAGAGGGGGAGAGACCGGAUUACAGAGGCAACGUUUCGCCGUUUCCUGUGAAGUGAGGCAGACUGUAAAAGCAUCGAGGUUCAUUUCCCUGACUGGUCUUUGCAGUGCAGCUCUCAGCUGCUGCAGUGUGUGUUCAAACCUGCAGCGAAAAGAGCCGCUGUGCACCAACGCUCUGCAGGAGGUCCACUGGAAACCAGCCGCUGUGCACCAGCGCUCUGCAGGAGGUCCACUGGAAACCAGCCGCUGUGCACCAGCAGGAGGUCCACUGGAAACCAGCCGCUUCGUAUCGGGCCUCACCGGGUUCCUCUCGUUCUGCUCAUCUUACAGCUGAAUGUCACUUUUGGUUUUUUCUCACAGGUUUUGGAAGUUAAAUCACAUUUAAAAAUAUACAGUAGCUUAAAAACAAAGUAUCGUAAUUAUUAGUUUAAUGACUAAAUCUGAACUUUUCUCUAAUAAAACUAGCAGCUCUGACUUUAUCCUUUCUAAGUGUCACAUAAAUAAACUGUUGGCUCUAAAUC